rnacentral:rRNA from 1 species
UACGUAGGGUGCGAGCGUUAAUCGGAAUUACUGGGCGUAAAGCGUGCGCAGGCGGUUCGUUGUGUCGGCGGUGAAAGCCCCGGGCUCAACCUGGGAAUGGCCGUUGAAACUGGCGAACUGGAGUGUGGCAGAGGGGGUGGAAUUCCGCGUGUAGCAGUGAAAUGCGUAGAUAUGCGGAGGAACACCGAUGGCGAAGGCAAUCCCCUGGGCCUGCACUGACGCUCAUGCACGAAAGCGUGGGGAGCAAACAGG